GAUGAACGCUGGCGGCGUGCCUAAUACAUGCAAGUCGAGCGAACAGAUAAGGAGCUUGCUCCUUUGACGUUAGCGGCGGACGGGUGAGUAACACGUGGGUAACCUACCUAUAAGACUGGGAUAACUUCUGGAAACCGGAGCUAAUACCGGAUAACAUUUGGAACCGCAUGGUUCUAAAGUGAAAGAUGGUUUUGCUAUCACUUAUAGAUGGACCCGCGCCGUAUUAGCUAGUUGGUAAGGUAACGGCUUACCAAGGCGACGAUACGUAGCCGACCUGAGAGGGUGAUCGGCCACACUGGCACUGAGACACGGUCCAGAGUCCUACGGGAGGCAGCAGUAGGGAAUCUUCCGCAAUAGGCGAAAGCCUGACGGAGCAACGCCGCGUGAGUGAUGAAGGGUUUCGGCUCGUAAAACUCUGUUAUUAGGGAAGAACAAAUGUGUAAGUAACUGUGCACGUCUUGACGGUACCUAAUCAGAAAGCCACGGCUAACUACGUG
rnacentral:rRNA from 1 species